GGAGUCUAGCAUGUACGCGAGUCAUUGGGACUUGUCGCGAGACCUAAAGGCGUAAUGAAAGUGAAGGUCGGCCCUGGCCGUCGACCGAGGGAGGAUGGGCCGCGUCGCGAUGCGGCCUCGCACUCCCGGGGCGUCUCGUUCUCAACGCGAGAAGAGGCGCACCCAGAGCGUACACGUUGGGACCCGAAAGAUGGUGAACUAUGCCUGGUCAGGACGAAGUCAGGGGAAACCCUGAUGGAGGUCCGUAGCGAUUCUGACGUGCAAAUCGAUCGUCGGAACUGGGUAUAGGGGCGAAAGACUAAUCGAACCAUCUAGUAGCUGGUUCCUUCC
rnacentral:rRNA from 1 species